GAUGCCAUGGCCGAGUCACCGAGCCGGGACGUGGUGGGAUCCGCAACAGGAUUAGCUCUUCCGGUGAGCCUUGGGACUCCUGCUCGCGCCACUGCUGAGGGCUGGGAACAUUUUCACUGCAUUUCCAGUAGGGGCCAUACUAGCCCUGUCCCAUCUCAAGUUGCCACACACUCAGAACUACAGCGAGAGGGAAGCAUCGAGACUCUGAGUAACAGCUCCGGUUCUACCAGCGG
rnacentral:lncRNA from 1 species